rnacentral:rRNA from 1 species
AAAACAUUUCUUAAUUGCGCCCAUUGCUAUUAGUUAGCAUCUGAACUAUAUUAAGUACGACCUGCUCAAUGAAUAUUUACUAUUUAAAUAGCCGCAGUACCCUAACUGUGCAAAGGUAGCAUAAUCAUUUGCCUUAUAAUUGAAGGCUAGAAUGAACGGUCAUACGCGACAAAUCCUUUCUUUAUUUAUUUUAAUAAUAACUUAACCUUAUAGUGAAAAGGCUAUAAUUUUAAUAAAAGACAAGAAGACCCUACGAAGUUUACACUUGCCACCCGGCUAUUUUUUAAUUGGGGCAAUUCAAUACUAAUUUAUUGAGCCAUUACUAAUAUUAUCUCAUAUCUUAACACUAGCAAAAUUACUCUAGGGAUAACAGGACAAUUGGCAAUAAGAGCCCACAUCUAAUUUCCAGUUUAUUACCUCGAUGUUGGAUUAAGGCCCCAGUUAGAAGCAGAAAUCUAACCGCGGUUGUCUGUUCGACAAUUAAACCCUUACAUGAUCUG